UACGCACGCUGGCGGCGUGCUUAACACAUGCAAGUCGAACGGAAAGGCCCUGCUUUUGUGGGGUGCUCGAGUGGCGAACGGGUGAGUAACACGUGAGUAACCUGCCCUUGACUUUGGGAUAACUUCAGGAAACUGGGGCUAAUACCGGAUAGGAGCUCCUGCUGCAUGGUGGGGGUUGGAAAGUUUCGGCGGUUGGGGAUGGACUCGCGGCUUAUCAGCUUGUUGGUGGGGUAGUGGCUUACCAAGGCUUUGACGGGUAGCCGGCCUGAGAGGGUGACCGGCCAGAUUGGGACUGAGAUACGGCCCAGACUCCUACGGGAGGCGGCAGUGGGGAAUAUUGCACAAUGGGCGGAAGCCUGAUGCAGCAACGCCGCGUGCGGGAUGACGGCCUUCGGUUUGUAAACCGCUUUCGCCUGUGACGAAGCGUGAGUGACGGUAAUGGGUAAAGAAGCACCGGCUAACUACGUG
rnacentral:rRNA from 1 species